rnacentral:rRNA from 1 species
AGUGGGGAAUAUUGGACAAUGGGGGCAACCCUGAUCCAGCAAUGCCGCGUGUGUGAAGAAGGCCUUCGGGUUGUAAAGCACUUUCAAUAGGGAGGAAAAGCUGUGCGUUAAUAGCGUACAGCCGUGACGUUACCUAUAGAAGAAGCACCGGCUAACUCCGUGCCAGCAGCCGCGGUAAUACGGAGGGUGCAAGCGUUAAUCGGAAUUACUGGGCGUAAAGCGCGCGUAGGCGGUUUGUUAAGUCAGAUGUGAAAUCCCCGGGCUCAACCUGGGAAUGGCAUUUGAGACUGGCAGGCUAGAAUGUGGUAGAGGUGAGUGGAAUUCCAGGUGUAGCGGUGAAAUGCGUAGAGAUCUGGAGGAACAUCAGUGGCGAAGGCGACUCACUGGGCCAUUAUUGACGCUGAGGUGCGAAAGCGUGGGUAGCAAACAGGAUUAGAUACCCUGGUAGUCCACGCCCUAAACGAUGUCAACUAGGUGUAUGGAGAAUUUAUUCUUUGUGUAUCGAAGCUAACGCGAUAAGUUGACCGCCUGGGGAGUACGGUCGCAAGACUA